AUGGAUAAAACACACAAGGAGGAGGCAGUGAAAACCACAUGCCAUGAAGACACUACCAGUACUGAUGGAUCAAGCACGGAUGAAUACGAUCCAUGGAAUCCUCCGUAUCCUCCUCCAUGCCCUCCUGCUGUUGAAAAUAGCUUAAGUGACUCUAUCCGUUUAGCAGCUAAGUGGUUACGUGAGAAAGAAGCUGCAGUUGGUGCCGUCAGAGCAUCCAGUAUAAUCUUCCCAGAACGCAUCCCUAAGGAGGUGAAUCAUCUCUUCCAUGAUAAAGUGCACCAUUUGGCACCUAUCCUGGAUAAGGAUAGCGUCCGGCGCUUUCUCAGCUAUAUGGAGAGGAAUGGGCAGGGCAUGCGAUGGGGUUCGAUCAUCACCCCAGAGGCUUUGAACCAUAUGAUUUCACAAGAUGCGGUGAAAUGUGUCAAAAUUGUCUUGGAGGGCCAGGCACCUGAGCUUGAUGGGUGCCGAGCCGGUCCCAACUGCAUGAACCAGUAUGGGUACUAUCCCCUCCAUCGAGCUGCUGAAUUUUUUUCGGUUGACAUGAUUCAGUUGCUCGUCCGCCACGGCGCGUCCGCCAAUCUACGCACAGCCGGUGCUGAGGUCAUCGAGGGCCUUCUCCCACUCCAUGUUGCAGUCGAGAACACGUGUAUGCAUAAGUAUCUGGAAGACAGUCUGUUUCCUAACCACGAGCAUCGGGAUUACAGUGAGGCAGAUGCCAACUUUAUCUUCAAGCUCAUCCAUCUUCUGUGCCUACCUGAAAUGAAGAUCUUCUUGGAUACGACUCGGCUGAUUGCAAAAUACACAGAUAAUCUAUUGGAUGAGCUGUGGAAUUACAUAAAAGAGGGAAAGCUUGCCGAGACAGCCGUUUUGCUCAUGGCAGCUCAAGAGCAGAUACGCAUGGGAACUUCUCGCAAGAGAAAUGGAGAUAGUAAGCCAGAUGGGUUUGCUAAUAUCUGUGACCGUAUUUGGAACAACAAUAUUGCUUUGCAGUCUGAGAAGGGUCAACAAGUGGAGGCAAGGAUAAAGCUUAAUAAUAUGGCAUUGAUGCUUGUUCAUGUAAUUUCCAAAGCUGGUGAAGGUCUUGAUUCAUACAUUCAGAAGCAUCUAGAGGUGCCGUAUUUCAUGCAGGUGCCCCAUUUGGAGGUCAUUGAACGUGUCUCGUUGAUUCUCAAGGAUAAUGGUUUUUGUCCUACUAGUGAAUGGACAGAAAUUGGAAACCUCUGCCCCUAUGAGGAUGUGUUGUCCAGUGAGGAUAUACCUAACAAAUCUGGGGAAAGUGACACAAACAGGCCACAAGAAAGAGAAAACCAAGACGAUGGGAGCUCAAACUCGCCAGGAGAAGCUUCUUCCCAUGGUGGAGAUCAGUGUUAUCUGCCCGGUCUAAAGUCAAGAUCAUCCCCCACAAAUGGGCACGUCCUUCUGAAUGCUUGGAUCUCGAGAUGGCUUGGAAGAAACCUACUCAAGGCUUGGAUGGUGAGACAGCUUCGAAGAAGGAAACCGUCGAGGAUGGGUCUGCUGCUGCAGGUCACGGCGUUAAGGGCCGAUUUCCCAUGGUGGUAUAUAGUAGCAAGCCCGGUGAGCUGUUUACUACAAUACCGCUUGCUGAUAUACCCAAAUACAUGA
rnacentral:rRNA from 1 species